CCUGCGACCCGUCACACCUGCACCCAGAGGUCACCACACGAGUGCAGGCUGCAGUGCUGGGGUUGUUCUCCGGCCUCCUCUCUGUGAAACAGCAAGAAAUUCCAGUGGGAAGUGAUGCUGGGGAAUGGUGUAGGGGUAGAGAUUAGUGUCAGAAGAUGACAAAAUGAGGCACCCAUAUACCUAUGGAGCAGUUCCUGCAGUUUGUAGAGGCCGUGUGUUGACAUCUGGAAAUGAGAGCUAUCUCGCUCCCACAGACCCUCUGAACUCAGGCCAUCUGUGGGACCAUCUUUUCCUCCCCCUCAGUGAUGACCUGCCCUGCAGGAGGUUGAUGGUGAUGGAGAGGGAAUAUAGGGAAAGUCACAGGGAUGUCCACAUGGUCAGUAGCAAAUUUGCCAAAAUGGGAUUUAUUUCUAUUUCACAGGCUAGUUACACAGCCCUUUACACUUUAGUAGGUGUUCACAGGGACAGAAAUGCCAAAACAACCCUAUUUAUUUGCACUGUGCUCUCCUUAUUCCAUCUAUGCAUUUUUUCUGCAGAAAAGUCUGCUAGCAAUUUGUAAAAUGCUCACAGUUAUAGAGUGAGUGGAGGCAGAUUAAGUAGUUCACCCUAUCCUACCCCUUAUAAAGGAUUCAGAAGCCCCAUGGAGACCUGCAGCAGUCUCCUCUGCCCAUCAGCAGCAAAUUUAACUGCCCCAUCUGCCACCCCAGCCCUCCAACAGAACAGAAAGUGGGCCAGCCCUUACAGCUGAAGGACAGACCAUACACGAACUACCAUGUGCAGUGGCUGCUGCAGGGUUUAGUCCAAAUGACUGGCAAGCAAGAGCAGCCCCAGCUAUCAUUCCCCAGAUCUGAAGUAAGAGCUUGCACAGAAUGGGGAAGAGCUUCCGCUUAGUAAAGAAACCUUUUCCUGAGAAAGCUUACUAUGAGGUUUGUAAAAGGAGGCUGCAUUGAUUCAAGCUGGGUGUUAAUAAUAAAUCUGGAGAGCUGCAGCAGCACUGGCUCCCCUCCACCCACCUUGGCGAACCCGGCUGAACCGAGCAGACGCACAUACAAGACAAACUCUGUAGGCUGGAUACACAACAAGGUACUGUUGUCCCAUCUGUAGCAGUGUACAUGCCAGUGGAUAUCAGCCUAACACAAGGCGAGGAGAUACACAGGGAAGCAGUUGCUUUCCUUCUUCCUUCCCACCUUUUUUUUCUGCUCUGAGCUGGGAAGGAAGUCUGGAAGCCAGUGCCGUGUCCAUGGGGCUCCCAAUAGACUGGCUUUGUUACAGCAAACAGAAGAGGAUGCUCAACAUACGCUCUGUUUGUGCUGUGACACAGGGGCAGACGUUGUGGGACUGAUGUAAGCACUACCUGGGAUGCCAACACCCCAAAUUGCCCACGGUGCCUCAGCAAACCGGGCUCCCACUGCUCCAACACCAGGAGUGUGCUCCUACAGCCACCAGCACCCAUACCAGUGCCAACACCCCUGCAAGGGCCAGUGAGAAAUUUGCUGGGCAUGACCUGGUUAGUGUCUCGGAGGCCUAAUUGGCAUCCUCUGUGACCGGUCUGGCUCUGGCUGCCAGGAGAGAGUAAAGCGUCUCCUCCUUUCACAGAUGGGCUGGGGGAAGGGGUGACCACCGCGUGUCUGCGUGUCGGUGUCAGGGGAUGGCAACAAAGGAUGUCAGGAACGUGGUGCUGCCAAGGGGCUUGCAUAUUUGGCUUAUAACCUGAUGAGUACAAGGCAGGUGGCAGAGUCUAUGUCAUGCCCUGUGGGGGGUGGAGAGGGAAGGGAAAGAGAGGAGGAAAAAAUAGGAUUGGUGCAGAUGGGAAGUGCCAGCUCCUCUCGCUGGAACAGAGCUGUUCGACUGGGAAACUCAGCCAGAGAAACUUAAAAGGACCAGGACGGGAGAAAACUGAACUGGCCAGCAUCAGCAAGUGCCUCCUGAUCCUUUCCUCCAAUCUACCUCAUUGCUAUUUUAAAAACCUCAUUUUGAUGGAAAAUUAAAUUAAAACCCCCACGAUUAAAAAAAAAAAAAAAAGGAGAACAAGCUAAAUCUCAGAGAUUUUGAGUAAGUAUGUGACAUGGGUGUGUGUGAAGGAAGGAAGGGAGAAAGGGAGAGACAGAGAUUAAAACAAAAAAAAAAUACAACCUAGAAAAAACUUGGAACAAAACACACACGAGGUAAUGCCAAAAACUUGAGAAGGAGAGUGGUUACACACUAAUUUAAUUCUCUAAUCCCCCUACUCCUGUCACUGUUUACUCACUGAUAAAUGUGCAGUAGCUUCAGCAAGACAGCCACAUUUGCAGAAACUGACAGCCUGACUCAGAGACUAUUUACCUAAAGACCAUGAAUAUUAAAACAGGUUUCCAAAAGGCCCCCGUCUUGAAGGAGAAGAUUAGCAUGGGGCCUCUUGCUGACAGACUCUUCCCUCUCCACCCCUCCUUCCCCCACUCCGUGAUGCAUCUCUUGUUCAAACACUCGAGAAGUAUCACCUAGCUGAAGAACUGAAAUAUUGGAACAAUGCCCUGGAGCUGUGCAUUCGGCUUUAGCCUGACAGCAAAAACACCCAUCCAUCCAAGAGAAAAGUUGGGGUUAGAUUUUUGGGGUGGAUUUCAUUUUUGUUUGUUUGUUUGUUUGUUUUGUGUAUUUGGUUUUGGUUUUUUGUUCCUUUAAAAUAACUGUUUGAAAACAAAAAAAACCCCAUAUCUUUUUUUUGCUAUUUUCCCCCCUCCUUUUGGAAGGUGAGCUAUGAGCACAGAGUCCUUUAAUAGAAUUAGAAAGGCAACAAAAUUAUAUUCGAAAGUCAUGAUCCUUAAAUGAGUUUGACUCUGUCUCCUAUGAUGGUACACAGAAUUCAGCAGCAAGAUAGAAAAGGAGUAAAGUAACACUAGAAAGGGCAGAGAAAAAGAUGGCUUUAAAGAUCAGAGGAAAAAGAUAGUUUCUAUAGGAUGGGGAAGAUGAAAUGGUCUAGAUACCCCAGCAUGAAUGACAAAACAGAGUGGAAAUCAAAUUGAUUUAUAUAUAAAAAAAAGAAAUGUCAAAUGGAUUUUUAAACAGAAAGUCAAGAUUGACUUACUUGUAAUAUUAAAAAAGUUAAACUAUAUUUGAAAUAAAAGAAUUAUUGCUUGUUUAUGCCAUAUAUAUUUUACUGGAGGAACUCUCUGCCACAGAACCUUCUGGGGAAUAAAAUUAUAACUAGAUUCAAGAAAACCUUAAGAAAUCUUGGAAAAUAGUGCAAAAUUGCUUCUAAAGGCCGUGAAUUGUUAGAAUACUGUUAGAAGAAAGGCAAAUUAGCCCUGUUCUACUAGGCAAUGGAGCUGGAAGCACAAUUUAUUUACACUGACUUAUAUUUCUCUCUCUCGACUGUGUGUGAGGGACACUCCCUGUCCAGGGUGAAACACAGAGACAAGGAUGUGCAUGUAUAGGCUGGCUGGGCAUUGAGUGUGACUCCCACCCCCUGCUAACAUGUCUCUGAGUGUCUGACACCCCCUGGGAAAGCAGGGAGACCACAUCUCUCACAGCGGGUGACAACACUGCGCCGUGAUGCACUUGUCCUGAUACAGACAGUACUGCUUAUCCCUGGAAACUAGUGAAUGUCCUGGCUCUGGAGACAAUGACAUCCAGUCUCCCUCUCAGGCUGGAUUUGGUAUCUUGUUUAAAAGAAGGGUUUAAUUAUAACCAGAGCUACUAUAAUGAACAGGCAAAGGUGGGAUAUUAGGAGAGCUUCCUGGAAUUGGAAAUGCAACAUGAGAGUGCAGAUGAAAUGCAAGUCACUGAAGCUGCAGAAUCUGGCCCCAGGACAGAGUGGCUCCUUCCGCUUGGCUUUAGAGCACCUGUCUCCAGAAAACCUCUUCCUAUCACCUGCAUUCACACCACUUUCUUUGGCAAUCACAGGCUUUUAAGUAGAAUCUUGGAAGCUGUAUCAUGACUCUAAGCAUAUACGUGCACAGGCAAAUCAAGCCUACAUUAAAAGGAAAUUUUAGUCCAUGCUCAAAGGUUAAAUAAAAAAUGCUAUGAGGCUUAGAAGUGUUACUUGAUGACCUCACAAGCAAACAUUUUACUUUCUGGUCUACCUUAAACAAAAGAGGUUUUGGA